rnacentral:rRNA from 1 species
AGUGAACGCUGGCGGUAGGCCUAACACAUGCAAGUCGAACGGCAGCACCGUAAGAGCUUGCUCUUACGGGUGGCGAGUGGCGGACGGGUGAGGAAUACAUCAGAAUCUACUUUUUCGUGGGGGAUAACGUAGGGAAACUUACGCUAAUACCGCAUACGACCUACGGGUGAAAGCAGGGGAUAUUCGGACCUUGCGCGAUUGAAUGAGCCGAUGUCGGAUUAGUUAGUUGGCGGGGUAAAGGCCAACCAAGGCGACGAUCCGUAGCUGGUCUGAGAGGAUGAUCAGCCACACUGGAACUGAGACACGGUCCAGACUCCUACGGGAGGCAGCAGUGGGGAAUAUUGGACAAUGGGCGCAAGCCUGAUCCAGCCAUACCGCGUGGGUGAAGAAGGCCUUCGGGUUGUAAAGCCCUUUUGUUGGGAAAGAAAAGCAGCAGGUUAAGACCCCGCUGUUCUGACGGUACCCAAAGAAUAAGCACCGGCUAACUUCGUG